AUUGAACGCUGGCGGCAGGCCUAACACAUGCAAGUCGAGCGGAUGAAGGGAGCUUGCUCCUGGAUUCAGCGGCGGACGGGCGAGUAAUGCCUAGGAAUCUGCCUGGUAGUGGGGGAUAACGUCCGGGAACGGGCGCUAAUACCGCAUACGUCCUGAGGGAGAAGGUGGGGGAUCUUCGGACCUCACGCUAUCAGAUGAGCCUAGGUCGGAUUAGCUAGUUGGUGGGGUAAAGGCCUACCAAGGCGACGAUCCGUAACUGGUCUGAGAGGAUGAUCAGUCACACUGGAACUGAGACACGGUCCAGACUCCUACGGGAGGCAGCAGUGGGGAAUAUUGGACAAUGGGCGAAAGCCUGAUCCAGCCAUGCCGCGUGUGUGAAGAAGGUCUUCGGAUUGUAAAGCACUUUAAGUUGGGAGGAAGGGCAGUAAGUUAAUACCUUGCUGUUUUGACGUUACCAACAGAAUAAGCACCGGCUAACUUCGUG
rnacentral:rRNA from 1 species